rfam:Myotis lucifugus cont2.31362, whole genome shotgun sequence.
GGCGAUGUGUGCUCAGUGGUUAGAGUGCCAGUCCAAACUGGUGAGGUUGUGAGUUCGAUUCCCAGUCAAAGCCA